rnacentral:rRNA from 1 species
GGGUUGUGAGGUUAAGCGACUAAGCGUACACGGUGGAUGCCUUGGCAGUCAGAGGCGAUGAAGGACGUGCUAAUCUGCGAUAAGCGUCGGUAAGGUGAUAUGAACCGUUAUAACCGGCGAUUUCCGAAUGGGGAAACCCAGUGUGAUUCGUCACACUAUCAUUAACUGAAUCCAUAGGUUAAUGAGGCGAACCGGGGGAACUGAAACAUCUAAGUACCCCGAGGAAAAGAAAUCAACCGAGAUUCCCCCAGUAGCGGCGAGCGAACGGGGAGCAGCCCAGAGCCUGAAUCAGUGUGUGUGUUAGUGGAAGCGUCUGGAAAGGCGUGCGAUACAGGGUGACAGCCCCGUACACAAAAAUGCACAUGCUGUGAGCUCGAUGAGUAGGGCGGGACACGUGGUAUCCUGUCUGAAUAUGGGGGGACCAUCCUCCAAGGCUAAAUACUCCUGACUGACCGAUAGUGAACCAGUACCGUGAGGGAAAGGCGAAAAGAACCCCGGCGAGGGGAGUGAAAAAGAACCUGAAACCGUGUACGUACAAGCAGUGGGAGCACGCUUAGGCGUGUGACUGCGUACCUUUUGUAUAAUGGGUCAGCGACUUAUAUUCUGUAGCAAGGUUAACCGAAUAGGGGAGCCGAAGGGAAACCGAGUCUUAACUGGGCGUUAAGUUGCAGGGUAUAGACCCGAAACCCGGUGAUCUAGCCAUGGGCAGGUUGAAGGUUGGGUAACACUAACUGGAGGACCGAACCGACUAAUGUUGAAAAAUUAGCGGAUGACUUGUGGCUGGGGGUGAAAGGCCAAUCAAACCGGGAGAUAGCUGGUUCUCCCCGAAAGCUAUUUAGGUAGCGCCUCGUGAAUUCAUCUCCGGGGGUAGAGCACUGUUUCGGCAAGGGGGUCAUCCCGACUUACCAACCCGAUGCAAACUGCGAAUACCGGAGAAUGUUAUCACGGGAGACACACGGCGGGUGCUAACGUCCGUCGUGAAGAGGGAAACAACCCAGACCGCCAGCUAAGGUCCCAAAGUCAUGGUUAAGUGGGAAACGAUGUGGGAAGGCCCAGACAGCCAGGAUGUUGGCUUAGAAGCAGCCAUCAUUUAAAGAAAGCGUAAUAGCUCACUGGUCGAGUCGGCCUGCGCGGAAGAUGUAACGGGGCUAAACCAUGCACCGAAGCUGCGGCAGCGACGCUUAUGCGUUGUUGGGUAGGGGAGCGUUCUGUAAGCCUGCGAAGGUGUGCUGUGAGGCAUGCUGGAGGUAUCAGAAGUGCGAAUGCUGACAUAAGUAACGAUAAAGCGGGUGAAAAGCCCGCUCGCCGGAAGACCAAGGGUUCCUGUCCAACGUUAAUCGGGGCAGGGUGAGUCGACCCCUAAGGCGAGGCCGAAAGGCGUAGUCGAUGGGAAACAGGUUAAUAUUCCUGUACUUGGUGUUACUGCGAAGGGGGGACGGAGAAGGCUAUGUUGGCCGGGCGACGGUUGUCCCGGUUUAAGCGUGUAGGCUGGUUUUCCAGGCAAAUCCGGAAAACUAAGGCUGAGGCGUGAUGACGAGGCACUACGGUGCUGAAGCAACAAAUGCCCUGCUUCCAGGAAAAGCCUCUAAGCAUCAGGUAACAUCAAAUCGUACCCCAAACCGACACAGGUGGUCAGGUAGAGAAUACCAAGGCGCUUGAGAGAACUCGGGUGAAGGAACUAGGCAAAAUGGUGCCGUAACUUCGGGAGAAGGCACGCUGAUAUGUAGGUGAAGCGACUUGCUCGUGGAGCUGAAAUCAGUCGAAGAUACCAGCUGGCUGCAACUGUUUAUUAAAAACACAGCACUGUGCAAACACGAAAGUGGACGUAUACGGUGUGACGCCUGCCCGGUGCCGGAAGGUUAAUUGAUGGGGUCAGCGCAAGCGAAGCUCUUGAUCGAAGCCCCGGUAAACGGCGGCCGUAACUAUAACGGUCCUAAGGUAGCGAAAUUCCUUGUCGGGUAAGUUCCGACCUGCACGAAUGGCGUAAUGAUGGCCAGGCUGUCUCCACCCGAGACUCAGUGAAAUUGAACUCGCUGUGAAGAUGCAGUGUACCCGCGGCAAGACGGAAAGACCCCGUGAACCUUUACUAUAGCUUGACACUGAACAUUGAGCCUUGAUGUGUAGGAUAGGUGGGAGGCUUUGAAGUGUGGACGCCAGUCUGCAUGGAGCCGACCUUGAAAUACCACCCUUUAAUGUUUGAUGUUCUAACGUUGACCCGUGAUCCGGGUUGCGGACAGUGUCUGGUGGGUAGUUUGACUGGGGCGGUCUCCUCCUAAAGAGUAACGGAGGAGCACGAAGGUUGGCUAAUCCUGGUCGGACAUCAGGAGGUUAGUGCAAUGGCAUAAGCCAGCUUGACUGCGAGCGUGACGGCGCGAGCAGGUGCGAAAGCAGGUCAUAGUGAUCCGGUGGUUCUGAAUGGAAGGGCCAUCGCUCAACGGAUAAAAGGUACUCCGGGGAUAACAGGCUGAUACCGCCCAAGAGUUCAUAUCGACGGCGGUGUUUGGCACCUCGAUGUCGGCUCAUCACAUCCUGGGGCUGAAGUAGGUCCCAAGGGUAUGGCUGUUCGCCAUUUAAAGUGGUACGCGAGCUGGGUUUAGAACGUCGUGAGACAGUUCGGUCCCUAUCUGCCGUGGGCGCUGGAGAACUGAGGGGGGCUGCUCCUAGUACGAGAGGACCGGAGUGGACGCAUCACUGGUGUUCGGGUUGUCAUGCCAAUGGCACUGCCCGGUAGCUAAAUGCGGAAGAGAUAAGUGCUGAAAGCAUCUAAGCACGAAACUUGCCCCGAGAUGAGUUCUCCCUGACUCCUUGAGAGUCCUGAAGGAACGUUGAAGACGACGACGUUGAUAGGCCGGGUGUGUAAGCGCAGCGAUGCGUUGAGCUAACCGGUACUAAUGAACCGUGAGGCUUAACCUUACAACGCCGAAGGUGUUU